rnacentral:pre_miRNA from 1 species
AGUGAGAUAACUGGGUCAAAUGGUGGUUCCAUUCCAAGUUUUCUGAGGGAUAUCCAUACUGUUUUCCAGAGUGGUUACUCCAAUUUACAGUCCCACCAGCAAU